GUCGGAAGGUCUAAUGGGGGGAUGGGGUCCUCAUCACCAACGUUGUUUUUAGAACAGCCAAUCAGAGCGUCUCUCUGAGACCAAAGCGACAGCACACCCAAUGGAAGGAGAGCCGGAAUCGAGUCAGACGGGAUAACCACAUCUGUCUGUCGCUGUGUGUUAAUCUAUAGAGCCUUUAGAAAGCGAAGAUCUUCACAUCAUUAAGGAUUCAAUCCUUUAACAAUCAUAAUAUGAACCAUCAGAUCGAGCCUUUAAAGACUAUGACAGAUGUCAUGAUCUGUGCUUCAUGCUGUUAAACGGAUUAUGAAGACAGAAGCUAAGUACCUGCAGGAUGAAAGUUCAGCUUCAACAUGCAGGCUGCAUCUGGACACCAUUAAAGCGUCUGAACUUCACCUGAAAGGUAAAAUCUCACCUGAGACGUGGCGCAUGGUCUGUCUCUGUCCUGGUCUGGUCCUGAAUAAAGACGUGAGGGUACCUCUGCGUGGGUGACUUCAUUCCCGACAUCAGCACGCACUCAAGUUGAAAUUUACCCGGCCUCCACCUCCCCCUUCCUCUCAUCAGUGUUUGACUCAGAAACUCCUCCGCAGGGUUGAGGUGUGACUGAAAGGAGCUCGUCCAUUUUCAAUUCAAAUGAACGGGGCUCAGCAGUGAAAGACAGCGACAUCGUCUGGUGGCAGCAGUUGGUGCAGCAUGGACGCGCAGAAAGGUCUGACGUCUCUGCACGUCUCAGAACAAGGAGACGCCCAGAA